rnacentral:sRNA from 1 species
CGACACGAUUUACGAGAGUAUAAAAGUCUCAGCUAGUUUGUUAAAGUCUUCAAAUUUAGAAGCCUUCUUAAGGGAACUUUGGCUGUUUUGAGAAAAGAUGAACCUCUUUCUUUUGGCAGUAGUUUUUGUGGCUUCAGCCUCGGCCAACGUCAUUCGAGAUAAACA